rnacentral:rRNA from 1 species
GAAAGUAAACAAGGGCGCAUGGAGGAUGCCUAGGCUCUCGGAGGCGAAGAAGGACGUGAUAAGCUGCGAAAAGUUACGGUAAGGCGCAAAUAGCCCUAGACCCGUAAAUAUCCGAAUGGGGCAACCCGGCCAGCAAUGGUCAUACCGCCAAGCGGUAAGCCAACGCGGGGAACUGAAACAUCUAAGUACCCGCAGGAAAAGAAAAUAACAAUGAUUCCGCCAGUAGUGGCGAGCGAACGCGGAACAGCCCAAACCACUCGUGUUACGGCACGAGUGGGGUAGAAGGAUCCACGAUACGGCAAGAAAUAAGUUAGCAGAAUACGAUGGAAAUCGUAGCCAAAGACGGUGACAGCCCAGUACGCGAAAACCGACAGAAGCCCAGUGGACACCUGAGUAACCCAGGACACGAGAAAUCCGGGGCGAAUCAGCGGGGCCCAUCCCGUAAGGCUAAAUACUCCCGAGAGACCGAUAGCGAACCAGUACUGUGAAGGAAAGGUGAAAAGAACCUCGAACAGAGGAGUGAAACAGACCCUGAAACCAUGCGCCUACAAGCGGUCGGAGCAUGUUAAAAUGUGACGGCGUGCCUUUUGCAUAAUGAACCUACGAGUUACUCUCGCUGGCAAGGUUAAGCGAUUCAGUCGCGCAGCCGAAGCGAAAGCAAGUCCGAACAAGGCGUACAGUCAGCGGGAGUAGACGCGAAACCAAGUGAUCUACCCUUGGUCAGGUUGAAGGUUGGGUAACACCAACUGGAGGACCGCACCGAUAAGCGUUGAAAAGCUUACGGAUGAACUGAGGGUAGGAGUGAAAGGCCAAUCAAACUUGGAGAUAGCUCGUACUCCCCGAAAUGCAUUUAGGUGCAGCCUCGAAGUAAAGUGAUAGAGGUAGAGCGACUGAUAAGAUGCGAGGGCUUCACCGCCUAUCAAGUCUUGACAAACUCCGAAUACUAUCACUUGAUCUUUGGGAGUGAGGGCAUGGGUGCUAAGGUCCAUGUCCGAAAGAGGAACAACUCAGACCACCAGCUAAGGUCCCGAAAUAAGGGCUAAGUUGAAUAAACGAAGUAAAACUGCAAAGACAGCUAGGAUGUUGGCUUGGAAGCAGCCAUUCAUUUAAAGAGUGCGUAACAGCUCACUAGUCGAGGAGUUUUGCAUGGAUAAUAAUCGGGCAUAAGCCCUUUACCGAAGCUGUGGAUGUCGUAAGACAUGGUAGGGGAGCAUUCCGGCGGCGACGAAGGCCGUCCUCGAGGACGACUGGAGCUUUCGGAAAAGCAAAUGUAGGUAUAAGUAACGAUAAAGGGGGCGUGAAACCCCCUCGCCAUAAGACUAAGGAUUCCUGAUCAACGCUAAUCGGAUCAGGGUAAGUCGGGCCCUAAGGCGCAGCCGAACGGCGUAGCCGAUGGAAGAAACGGUAAAGAUUCCGUUACUGGAUAUAGGAGCGAUGUGGAGACGGAGAAGUGACACACCCGCCUGCCGACGGAAGCGCAGGUUAAAGGAAGUAGGUAAACGCCGGGUAGGCAAAUCCGCCUGGCGUGCCGAAACUGACAGUAUCGAGAGCCCCCGGGCAAUCGAAUAGCGGUGGUAAUCAGGCUCCCAAGAAAAUCCGCUAAGCAUAUUCUAUAUCCACCCGUACCCCAAACGGACACACGUAGUCGGGUAGAAUAUACCAAGGCGCUCGAAAGACUCACGGUUAAGGAACUAGGCAAAUUGACCCUGUAACCUCGGGAAAAAGGGUCCCCAGUAAGAUGGGGCGCAGAGAAUAGGUCCAGGCAACUGUUUAACAAAAACACAGGGCUGUGCGAAAUUUCAAGAUGAAGUAUACAGCCUGACACCUGCCCGGUGCCGGAAGGUUAAGAGGAGAGCUAAUCGCAAGAGAAGGCUUGAAUUGAAGCCCCGGUAAACGGCGGCCGUAACUAUAACGGUCCUAAGGUAGCGAAAUUCCUUGUCGGGUAAGUUCCGACCUGCACGAAUGGUGUAAUGAUCUGGAC